UCGAGAAAGUCCGAAAUGAACCCUCCGCAGUGUUUGGAUUGUUCAAAGUGGUUUUGAAGUGUUAGAGCGCAUUCAUGCUCUGGAUCGAAAUCAGGUUCAUGGUUGGUUCGGUUAAAGACGGUUUAGUGAAGGUCAAUAAAUUGGGAUCAUCUGGCCAUCAGACAGCAUUGAAAAUUAUGAGCACAAAAUUAGGGAACAAUUAGUUCUCGUGAGCCCAAACAGUAAUGAGGCUGUACCUUGUUUUGCGGGCAAUACUUGAUGGUGUGCGCCACGGGUCCUGAAGCCCCACAAAUAGGACACACGUAAGCCCGCAAUACCGGGCAAAUCACCUGGCCUGAAUCAUCCUUCAGGGUGUGCGCCAAGAAAAACUGCUCAUCCUCGCCA